rnacentral:rRNA from 1 species
CAGUAGCCACGGGAAUACAGAGGGUGCAAGCGUUAAUCGGAAUUACUGGGCGUAAAGCGCGCGUAGGUGGUUCGCCAAGUUGGAUGUGAAAUCCCCGGGCUCAACCUGGGAACUGCAUCCAAAACUGGCGAGCUAGAGUAUGGUAGAGGGUGGUGGAAUUUCCUGUGUAGCGGUGAAAUGCGUAGAUAUAGGAAGGAACAUCAGUGGCGAAGGCGACCACCUGGACUGAUACUGACACUGAGGUGCGAAAGCGUGGGGAGCAAACAGGAUUAGAUACCCGCGUAGUCCCUGUCUCUUAUAC